rnacentral:rRNA from 1 species
AUGGCGAUCAGGGGGGUACCUUCGCAGCGGGAGAUGACGGUGGCGGAGUUCAAGGAGUGGCUGAAGCAGUUCGACGCGGACGGCGACGGCCGGAUCAGCAGGGCCGAGCUCCGCGAGGCCAUCCGCAGCCGCGGCGGCUGGUUCACCACCCUCAGGGCCGGCCGCGCCGUCCGCCGCGCCGACAGGGACAAGAGCGGCUUCGUCGACGACGCCGAGGUGGAGAACCUCGUCGCCUUCGCGCAGAAGGAUCUCGGCAUGAGGAUCUCUGCCUGGUAG